CCGGCACGGGUGAGUAACACGUAUCCAACUUGCCGUCUACUCUUGGACAGCCUUCUGAAAGGAAGAUUAAUACAAGAUGGCAUCAUGAGUCCGCAUGUUCACAUGAUUAAAGGUAUUCCGGUAGACGAUGGGGAUGCGUUCCAUUAGAUAGUAGGCGGGGUAACGGCCCACCUAGUCUUCGAUGGAUAGGGGUUCUGAGAGGAAGGUCCCCCACAUUGGAACUGAGACACGGUCCAA
rnacentral:rRNA from 1 species